CAUCGUCUUCCUCAACAACUGCCCCGUUUCUUCCGGCCACGCGCGCGUCCGAAACGGCCACGAAUUCCUCGCGAUUUCUCCGCGCAUGAAGCCCCACUCUCGCACUUGAGCGCAUCACCCCGAAACCCAUACCCCUCUCUCUCUCUUUUUCCCCAACAUCCACGCCCGAUUUCGCAUCCAUCUCGCCGGAAUCGGUUUCUGCCGCCGCUCCGACCGGACGCCGUCGCCGCCCGAGCCCGUCGUCGCCGGCCGCCGCUCAACCUCGUCCUAGCCACGUGUCCGCGCGUCCCCGGGAGAAGCCGCCGCCAGCGCCGGAAGCGCCUCGCCGAGCCGCCCCGAUUCCCUUCUUCCCCGAGCCGAACCAAGCUCCGUCGCCGCCGCGCCGAAGCCGCCCGAGCCGCCGCCGCCGCCAUCUUCCUCAUCUCAGACUGUUUGGAUUGUGAACCUUGUUGUUGCGAAGAGUGCGAGAACAACCACAACCUUGGAC